UCCUACGGGAGGCAGCAGUAGGGAAUAUUGCACAAUGGGCGCAAGCCUGAUGCAGCAACGCCGCGUGCGCGAUGAAGGCCUUCGGGUCGUAAAGCGCUUUUCUGGGAGACGAGGAAGGACGGUAUCCCAGGAAGAAGGCUCGGCUAACUACGUGCCAGCAGCCGCGGUAAAACGUAGGAGCCUAGCGUUAUCCGAAUUUACUGGGCGUAAAGCGCGUGCAGGCGGCUUGGUAAGUUGGCUGUGAAAUCUCCCGGCUCAACUGGGAGGGGACGGUCAAGACUGCCAGGCUCGAGGGCGGUAGAGGGAGGUGGAAUUCCCGGUGUAGUGGUGAAAUGCGUAGAGAUCGGGAGGAACACCUGUGGCGAAAGCGGCCUCCUGGGCCGUACCUGACGCUCAGACGCGAAAGCUAGGGGAGCGAACGGGAUUAGAUACCCUGGU
rnacentral:rRNA from 1 species